AAGUCGUAACAAGGUUUCCGUAGGUGAACCUGCGGAAGGAUCAUUACCGAGUUAGGGUACUCUUCGUGCCCGACCUCCAACCCUUUGUCUACCUGACCAGAUGUUGCUUCGGCAGGCCCGCCGCCCCGCAAGGGGUAGCCGCUGGGGGCCCUUACCGGCUCCGGGUCCGCGCCUGUCGAUGGCCCUCUAUAAACUCUUGCUUAAACCGUGUCGUCUGAGUAAAACAAACAAAUAAAACAAAACUUUCAACAACGGAUCUCUUGGUUCUG
rnacentral:misc_RNA from 1 species